rnacentral:rRNA from 1 species
AUUGAACGCUGGCGGCAGGCUUAACACAUGCAAGUCGAGCGGAGCGAGGGUGCUUGCACCUUAGCUUAGCGGCGGACGGGUGAGUAAUGCUUAGGAAUCUGCCUAUUAGUGGGGGACAACAUUCCGAAAGGAAUGCUAAUACCGCAUACGCCCUACGGGGGAAAGCAGGGGAUCUUCGGACCUUGCGCUAAUAGAUGAGCCUAAGUCGGAUUAGCUAGUUGGUGGGGUAAAGGCCUACCAAGGCGACGAUCUGUAGCGGGUCUGAGAGGAUGAUCCGCCACACUGGGACCGAGACACGGCCCAGACUCCUACGGGAGGCAGCAGUGGGGAAUAUUGGACAAUGGGCGGAAGCCUGAUCCAGCCAUGCCGCGUGUGUGUAGAAGGCCUUUUGGUUGUAAAGCACUUUAAGCGAGGAGGAGGCUACUUAGAUUAAUACUCUAGGAUAGUGGACGUUACUCGCAGAAUAAGCACCGGCUAACUCUGUGCCAGCCGCCGCCGUAAUAC